UGGGCCUCAAAUAAUGUGUGACUACCCCCUAAAUUUUAAGC
rnacentral:rRNA from 1 species